GAUCGGCUUUAACAUUGGGCGAUGAAGCGCUUCAUCUUACGACUUAGCAGUCGCGAGAGGGAGAGGAUCUGAAACCCUCAUCUGAGGGCAGUGGGGAACGAUCAGAUCUCAUCGAUUCCUCCUCCGAUUCCUAUAAAAUUCCGUCCGGCUUCGCCAAGAUCAUGGUUCUUUUUCGCUCUAUCUAGAAAAUUGGAAAGAAACAAAAAUGGAAGAGUAGAUUUGUACUGCACAGUAUCAUCUGCCUUUGGUUUUUGAGCCUAGCAGCUUACAACAUCUUGGAAACAAAUAGUGAGCUUUCUUGUCUGGGGCUGCACUCUGUUGCUGCUGAUGCAGGUAAACUGUGAUACUACAUAUGUAGGUCCCACCUUGCUUUUGCUGACCCUGGUAGCUCUGGAUCUGACCGCUGGUUGGGCUCACGUUCCGUUGACUGACUAUGUUGUUGUAGGCCUUGUGACGUGCUGCAGCAAUCCACCCUCGUCUUUGGAGGAAGCUUCCUAGCACUUCAGUUUGAGGUGUUUGUAUGUCAGUAGACUGCAAAGGUCUAUAAUGUUGGGUAAGUGGAUCUUGAAAUUUCAUGCAUUAUUUAAUCACAAAAAGGCACAACAUUACAAUAUGCAUCUAGAUAUCUCAUCAGGGGUUAAUUAUAUAUUAUCUUUUAUAUUUGGAUUUUAUUAAUAUCAUAAUUUUUAUAUUUAAAAAAUCUAUAUUAAGAUCUCUAUAAUUCUAAAAAUAAAAUAAAUAACUUCUUUUAUCCUUACGUUGUCAACUGUAUUGGCGAAGAACACAACGUAUAACAUCAUGUGUUAGAUCGACAUGAAUGUAAUGGAUAAAAGAAUAAUUUUAAUUUUUUUUAAUGAUUUUAUCGAUAAAAAGA